GUCUCUGAAUGACUGUGCAGGAUCUUCUGUAGACGUUGAAGGUACGGGUUCUACUGGCCUCUCCACCUUGGUGAAGUACUUGGAGAUGUCCAUCUGGAAGGAAAUCUUCCUCUUUUCCUCCCAGAUCUCACGGUAGCACC